UUGGUUUCAUGAAGUUCAUUGAGUUCGGCUGGUCAAAAUAGGUUAGGCAAAGGGGGAGAUGGGUAGUAUGUUGUGAAACACACGAUGAUGAUGACUCUGAACUCCAAUAUUGGUGCUGCUUGAUGCAUGCCUUAAAUACUUCAUAUGAAAAAUAUAGUGAAUGGAUUUCAGUGUAGUGGAAAAAAAUGUUACAUGCAUGCAAUUAUGACAUGGUAAGCAAAACAUAAAUUCUUCCGGAAGCUUCUCAAGUUAAUUCAUUCCAAUUUUUUUUUUUCAUUUUAGCUUUGUUUUUAUUUAACACUCAUGUUUAUAUCCAAUACGAGACAUGCUCAUGUGCAGACAUAUGCAUGUUCUAUAAGCUUAGGAUAACAGAAUUAUUAAAGUCGAUAUUGUACUAUCCACGUCGGACACCGAGCUCAAGCUCGGUGUCCUAGCGCUGCACCAUCUCGGAUAGGCGCCACAUGACAUCGGUCAAAACAAGGGCCCAAUGCCUAUUGGGCCACGACCAAUCUCAAGCCCAAAUCUAUCUUACCCUCGCCCAAGAGGAAACCCUAAUCACAUAUCAAGGUAUGUGCAUUAUAUAUAAGAGACACUCAUACGAUCAUAAACUAACUUAUGCAUUGGAGUCUCUUUUGCAGGUACCAACCCCAUCUCGGAGUAGCAGACAUACCAAGCAGAGGAGGCUCACCGAUCUUACCAAAGAUCAUCUCACUCAUCGAUCUCAGGUAAGAACAUUUGGCGCCCACCGUGGGGCCGAUCAAGAAGUUUCUUAUCGACCACGCUUAUGAUUUUUACCUGAAGCCAUAAUAGACGAGCAACAGACGAACAAGAUAACGCAACAAGAAUGGAAGGAGAAGCAACAUUGAGACGGCUGAUCGAGCAAGUCGAUCAAAUGCGACAACAACACACCGCUGACCUGGAGAGCAUGCGCGCCCAGCACGAGGCCAAUCUAGCGGUGCUACAAGCUGAGAACGAGCGCAUCCGCGCCCAGCUUCCUCAGCGCCCCCCAUAUUAGCCCCCUCAACCAAGCAAUCAAAACAAGGAAGAAGGGCACUCGAUUUCCCCGCCACCGACUGCGCCUAGGGUGAUGACCCAUAGGUCUACUUCGGUCAAACGUACCAACGUAUCGAUCAGACCAUGUAGUCAGCAACGCACCGAUCCAGGCUCCAGGACACAGGGCGAGCAUCCGCCGUCACCCCUUUGUCGACGGCAUCAUGGAGACACCUCUCCCUUUUGGAUGGAAGCCCCUAACAUCGACUGCUACGAUGGCACCACCAACCCAGAUGAGCACGUCGAUCUGUACGUCAUACAAGUGAACUUAUACACUAAUGAUGAUGCUAUUUUGUGUAGGGUUGUUCCAUCCUCGCUCAAGGGAUUGACACUCGCCUGGUAUACUCAAUUGCCAGCGGGGUCAGUCGAUAGCUUCGACACUUUGGUACGGCAAUUCACGGCGCAGUACGCAACGAGUCGACCACAUCACGUCACGUCUGACGCCUUGGCCAACCUCAGACAGGGCAACGACGAACCACUGAAGAAAUUCAUGGAGCGAUUUGCCAACAUCUCCAUCCAAAUUUGCAACAUGAACCCCGAGAUCGCCCUACACGCCAUGCUCAUGGCACUCAAGCCAGGUCCCUUCGUCGAUAGCCUUUGUCGACGGCCUCCCCCGGACAUGGACGAACUCCGUGCCCGAGCUGUCAGGUACAUUUAGAUGGAAGGACACACGACAUUCCGUGACCAAGUCCAUGGGAAACCACAAGGGAAGCAAGACCAUGGCCACAAAGACAAGAUGCGGGUCUCCAAUGACAGUCAAUUCAAAAAGACUAGGCCGAACAAGGGCGGGAAGUACGACUUCUACACCCCUUUGAAUGCACCCCGAGUCCACAUACUGGAGGAGGCCAGUAACACCGACCUCAUCACCCUGCCUCCACCCGGGCGCAGCCCCAGUAAUGCGGACAAAUCCAAACAUUGCCGAUACCAUAGAAAUUAUGGUCAUCGAGGAAUGCCGCACACUCAAGGACCGCAUCGAGGAAAUCGUCCAAGGGGGACACCUCGGACAAUACGUCCAACGGUCCCAAUCUAACAGGGGAGGCUACCAUGGACGAGGACGAGGACGAGGCCGAGGCUCCGACACUCAAGCAGACCAACCAUCCAGAUCUUAGCAAAAAAUUGGCGGUGCUGUGCAGGUCGAGGUAAGCCAUGACACGGGUACGACUCCCUUGCGGGGGGUUAUCAAUACAAUUACAGGUGGAUUUGCAGGAGGUGGCUCAAGCAGCUCGGCACGCAAGAGACACUUGCAAAGCAUCAACAAUGUCUAUGCAGAAGCCUCGGCUCCUAAACACAACAUGCCGCCCAUCACUUUCACAGACGACGACUACGUCAGUGUCUGUCCCAAUCAAGACGACCCCAUGGUCAUUGCGGUGGAGGUAGCCAACUAGGAGGUCCACAAGACACUAAUCGACCAGGGAAGCUUGGCUGACAUCUUAUACUGGCCGACAUUCCUAAGGUUAGACAUCCCUUACUCCCUUAUUCAACCUCACACAAAAGUCCUAGUCGGUUUUGCAGGAAAACGAGUCCACACCCGGGAAUACAUAGAACUGCUAACAACCUUUAGGACACCUCCCAACUCAAAAAGAACCAUGGUCAAAUAUCUCCUCGUCGAUGCUAACACAUCAUACAACAUCAUCAUAUGAAGGCCGACUUUAAAUCAACUUGGAGCUGUAGUGUCUACCCUACAUCUGACGAUGAAGUUCCCAGGGGGUAACGACCAGAUAAUUUCGGUCAAGGCAAACCAAAGAAUAGCUCGGCAAUGCUAUGCUGAAAGUUUAAAGGCAUCAUCCCCAGCAGAGGAGCAACGCCGAGAUAACUCCCCCACCAUCGCUCACAUCACUCAAGAUGACAUCACUGACCUGGAUCCGAGGUCGGAAUCUCAUGACAACCGACCAAGUCCAAUUGACGAGCUUGCUGAUCUGUAAAUCGGAAAACUCCCUGGCCAAUGCACCAAAAUAAGCCAACAUUUGAGCACAGAGUUGAGGCAACAACUUGUAGCCGAAAUUUCCAAAAACGCCGACCUCUUUGCAUGAUCCAGCGCUGACAUGCCAGGUAUAGACCCUAACCUUAUCUGUCACAGAUUGGCCAUCUACAAAGAGACGAAAUCGGUGGCCCAGAGGAAACGAAAGGUUGGUGGCGAAAGACGAGAAGCCAUCAUAGUUGGACACAAAAGCUAAUAAGAGCAGGAUUCAUUCGCAAAGUUUGAUACACUACGUGGCUAGCCAAUGUGGUGCUCGUUAAAAAGAACUCAGGGAAGUGGUGUAUGUGCGUCGACUACACCGACCUGAACAAGGCUUGCCCUAAAGAUGCCUACCCCCUACCAAGCAUUGACAAGUUGGUUGAUGGAGCAUCCGGUCACGCCCUCCUCAGCUUUCUGGACGCAUACUCUGAUACAAUCCGAUCAUGAUGUACCCACCGGACGAAGAGCACACGUUGUUCAUCAAUGACCACGCCAAUUUCUGCUAUCGCGUGAUGCCGUUCGGCCUCAAAAACACGGGAGCUACUUAUUAAAGGCUGAUGGACAAGGUCUUCCACCAGCAGAUUGGACGAAACAUGGAAGUCUACGUAGAUGACAUGGUCGUGAAGACCACAUCGGCCGAUGUCCAUGUUGCUGACCUAGCUGAAGUAUUUAACCAAAUACGGAAGCACAACAUGCGCUUAAACCCCGAAAAGUGCGUCUUCGGAGUUCAGGGAGGCAAGUUCCUCGGCUUCAUGAUCACUCAUAAAGGUAUUGAAGCCAACCUAGAAAAGUGCAAGGCCAUCAUACAUAUGCAUAGCCCCACAUUGUCAAGGACGUCCAACGCUUGGCAGGAAGAUUAGUCUCUCUUUCUCGGUUCAUUCCCAGGUUGGCAGGGAAAGCAGGACCUAUCUUUACCCUACUUCGCAAGCCAAAAAAUUGAGUGGACUGACCAAUGUGAAGAAGCUUUCAAAAGCUUCAAAAUUUUCCUCGCCACCCCACCAGUCCUACAGAGGCCGGAUCAUCAUUUUGACCUCCUCCUAUACUUGGCAGUUGGCGAAAGUGCAAUCAGCGCGGUGAUGGUGCAAGAGCGCAACAAGAACCAAAUUCCUAUAUACUACAUCAGCCGAGUUCUCCAAGACACAAAGAAGAGGUACCAAACGAUUGAGAAGAUGGCCUUGUCAUUGGUCACCUCGGCCCGAUGUCUUCGGCCUUAUUUCCAAAGCCACCAAAUCGUCGUCAAAACGGACUACCCAAUCAAGCAAAUGCUGAGAAAGCCAGAACUCGCAAGACGCAUGAUUGCGUGGUCCGUAGAGCUAUCCGAGUUCGGCAUCCAAUAUGAAAAUCGAGGCCCUUUGAAAGCCCAAUACCUGGCAGAUUUUGUGGUCGAACUCACCCCAACCUUAGUAAAAGAAAAGUAGGUAUGAACUCUAUAUGUUGAUGGAUCUUGCAACACUAAAGGUGGUGGUGCAUGUAUCAUUUUAGAAGGACCCAACAAUGUCACCAUAAAACAAUAUCUUAAAUUCGGGUUUAGAAUCACCAACAACCAAGCAGAAUACAAAGCACUACUAGCAGGACUGAGGUUGGCUCACGACAUCGGAGCACAAAUGGUGAGUUGCAACAGUGACUCAAAACUCAUGGUAGAACAGUUCAGUGGGACAUACCAAACCAAGGACGCUCUACUACAAAGGUACUUUCAUGCAGUAUCCCAACGGAUCUCAUCCUUUGAGGAGUUUACCAUACAUCAUGUACCCCGAGAGUAUAAUGUCAAGGCCGACCUCCUGUCCAAGCUUGCUAACACAAAGCGCCCCGGGCAACAUCGGACCAUUAUCCAAGAGACCCUCAACUCUCCCAGCCUAGACGAUAAAGUCGUCAAUACUAGCGAUACCAAAGACAAGGGAUGGAUGACAGAUAUAUGGAACUACUUAAAGGAGGGGACACUACCCGAGGACAAAGAUGAAGCUCGGAAGGUGAGGGUAAGGUCAUCUAAAUUUUUCGUCAUUAGGGACGAACUCUUCAAAUGAGAAAUCUCGGCUCCCCUGCUAAAAUGCCUAACCAAGUCCCAAGCCACCUACAUCAUCGAAGAGAUCCAUCGAGGAAGAUGCGGUAUGCACUCCGGGGCACGCUUGAUGGCAACUUGGGUGCUCCGAGCUGGAUACUACUGGCCCAAGCUGAAGUCAGAUUGCAAAGAUUACGUACAAAGGUGCAACACACAUCGGCAAUCACCCGAAGUCCUACACAAAAUAGCGUUCCCAUGGCCCUUUUCCCAGUGGAAAAUGGACAUCCUCAGACUGUUUUCUCCCGUGAAAGGUCAACUCAAAUUCCUCCUUGUGGCAGUCGACUACUUCACCAAGUGAAUCAAGGCCUGCCCACUUGCGAAAAUCACCCCCGAAAACGUGCAAAAAUUCACCUGGAAGAACAUCAUUUGCAGGUGCGGUAUCCCAUACUCCCUCAUCACCGAUAACGACAGGCAGUUCACCGCACAGAGCUUCGAGAGUUUCCUCCAAGAGCUCGGCAUCAAACACCUCCCCACCUCGGUGGAACAUUCCCAAACCAACGACCAAGCCGAAGCCACAAACAAGGUUAUACUCCGAGAACUCAAAAAGCGGCUAGGAAAUGUCAAAGGACAGUGGGCUAACGAGCUCUCCAACAUUCUCUGGGCAUAUCAUUGCACCUCCCAAUCCACGACUCAAGAAACUCCUUACAAGCUGACCUACGGAGCCGACGUCAUGAUCCCAGUAGAGGUCGGCGAGCGUCCCAUCGGCGUCACACCUUUGACACUGAGCAAAACACUCAAGAAACAACAGCCAACCUCGACCUAAUAGACGAGCUCAGAGAGGAAGCUCGGAUUCAAAAGGAAGCUUGCAAACUCUGAGCCUCCAAAAGAUACAACACGCGAGUCUGACCUCGCUCUUUCUGGGUUGGAGACCUAGUGUGGAAACUACAAGGCGAAGCAAGAAGUGACCCAUCAGAAGGAAAACUCACCUAAUUGGGAUGGUCCGUUCCGAGUGACCACGACCUGGGAAGUGGAGCAUACCGACUAGAGGAACUCAGCGGCAAAACCAUCCCAAGAACUUGGAAUGCCACUCACCUCAAGUUUUAUUUUAGUUGAAGUAUACAAAUGGGUUAUUGGACUCUUUUCCCUACCCAGUCUUUUUUCCCAAAAAAUAGAAAAAUGAGUUUUGGUUGAGAGGGUUUUUAACGAGGCACACCACAACAUCAAUAAAAAUGACUCACUUUACUCAUAUUUCCUCAAUAUCUCGCUGUCUAGCACGAUUUAUAUUAAGCCAAGGUUGAAUUCGGACCUUGGCACGAGUUACAUUAAGUCAAGGUCGAAUUUGAACCUUCGUACGAUUCAUAUUAAGCCAAGGUCGAAUUUGAACCUUGGCACGAUUCAUAUUAAGCCAAGGUCGAAUUCGAACCUUCGCAUGAUUCAUAUUAAGCCAAGGUCAAACCUUGGCACGAUUCAUAUUAAGUCAAGGUCGAACUCGAACCUUGACACGAUUCAUGUUAAGCCAAGGUCGAAUUCGAACCUUGGCACGAAUCAUAUUAAGCCAAGGUCGAAUUCGAACCUUGGCACGAGUCAUAUUAAAUCAAGGUCGAAUUCGACCUUUUGCGCAAAUUAUGUUAAUGGACAAGUUUGAACCUUAAGGCCAAACACGGGCCACGACGAAAAAAGGUCAAGUUUGAACCUCAAAUACUUAAACUCGUUUUCAAACAACAGUGAGAAAAGCAAUAUAUAUAGCAAAUUCAUUCAUUCACAAAGUAAUGAGUUCAACACGCUGCUCAACGCAAGCAAAAUAAACUGAGUCUAUUACAAAAAACGACAAGAAAAAUAAAGGCUCAGGCAGCAGUAUCCUCGUUGGCGCUCUCGGACAGGUCAUCCUAGUUAACCAAUUGCCCACCUCGCACAUCUUUAUCAAUGUGCAUGGCAGAAAGGUCAACCUCCCCCGCUAGAAGCCUAGCUUGGCGAAACCUCGGCGAUACUCCACCACAACGCCCGCUCGGUCUCGACGAGCCUCUUCUCCAAACUCUUCUUCUCUGCGGCCAUCACAUCGAGAUCCGCCUUCAGGGCCUACCAACCAGAAGCACCUCGUCGCAAAGACGCUUCUCGGCAGUCUCCCUCAGAUCGGCCCUCAACGUCGCGUUCUCCUCCUCCAAGGCCAGAACCCGGCCCCGCGAAGCUUCCGUCUCGGCCUUGCAAGACUUAGCAACCUCUUGCAAACCACCAACCUCGGUGGCAUAUGCCUCGUUGGCCUUCAAGGCAAUCUCCAAAGACUUAUGAGUCUUUGAAAGAUCUCUCCUCAGGGCUUGAAGCUCGGCUUCAUUUUUCUUCGCCUUCUCUAGCUCGUCCUGAAGCCUCGGCCACUUGCGCCUCCAGUGGUCCACUAUGGCAAUGGACCUUUGCAUGAAUACAUCCGCAGAAUCAAGGCCUUCAAUCGGGCCAACCUUUUCUAUCAUCGCCUUGUCAGUGACAAAGGCCGGAUCCUCUUUAAAAAUGCCUCAGCAGUUACGCUUGAACUCCACAACGAUGUCACGUCUGGUGAUACACUUACGUGAUACAGCCUUGACAUCCGACGACUGACAUCGAAGCGCUGCAUGAUGCACCUCGCUCUCGGAGCACCUGGAGGAGGAGGCGCAGUGGCGAAAGGGGCCGAUCUCGGCAUCUCAGAACUUAGCCCUUCCCCGCGAGCCUUGACAGAGGAAGGCAUCGGACCUCCUUACAAGAAAAUCAAAAUAAGUUUCUAAGUUACAAGCAUAAGAGUAACACACCAAAGCAAGAAGGAUAAUACUAAGGAGAAGUGAAGCAAGAACCUGUCCCUCCGGGGUAGCCUCCACCACAGGCUCCCUCGAUGAUGUCUCAGACCGAGGACUCUCGGUCAAGUCUAUGGGGGUGGCGUCGGUGGCUUUGGACGUCACCUCCUCAAGGAUGGGGGUGCCCGAAGCUUCGCCGACCUCCUUCUGUGCCUUUUCCUCUUAUGCCGAGUUUCCAACGGGGCAACCUCCUCACCAGGCUCGGGCACCUCGAGCUCCUCGAUGUUGAACUUCACCUUCAACUCGCGCUAAUUGCUUUUCCCCAUCAAACCUGCAAACGCAAAUACCAUAACACUUCAGAAUGCGAACAAGGGCACACAAAAUUUAAUAAGCAAAGCAAUGCAGUACUCACUCUCCAAACCCCUUUCCUUAUUCGCCAGAUUAGCUAAGGAGAGGACGAGCUUGCUGUCCAAGGGGCGCGGAAGCUCGGCCAAAUUUGCGAUGUCGUCUUUGUCGAAAUCCGACAAUUGGAGGCUACACGACCCGUUAAACAUGACCGGGCUUCGCUGCCAAAAUAGAGGAAACCUCGGCUCCCCCUCAAGGUGGAAAACUUCAUCAAUCCUCGGGUCGGCCUCGACAGGUCAGACCCGAAAAAAUUCAUUUUUAAAAUUUUUGUAGGAUUGGGAGUAAAGCUGGAACAACCCCCUAGCCUUACUCCCACUGAGGGAUACCCAAUCCAAGGGAGGCUCGCCCAACUUGAGUUGGUAGAAAUGUAAAAAAAGGGGCAAGGACGCCCCAGGGCCGAGCACAAAACUUGGAAUGCCCUUAAGAAUCCCCAACUGUUGGGGUGCAAUUGGUAAGGAGCCACGUUGACAAACUUCAGAAAAGCACAUUCGAACUCGGUGAACGGCAAACAUACACCAAGAUCCCUAAAGAAGCACAGAUACAUGUAGAAGAAGGGGGUACUCGGAGUACCCGCCAUGUACACACGCUCACCGGGUUGGCAGGGCUCAACCCGGAUAAGCUUAGAAAUAGUCGGCUUGCAGUUUCUCAGCGAUUUCCACAUCGCAUUCACAUUAAGAAAAGACCUAAACCCACUUUCAAACUCCCCAACGUCCCCCUAACCCACUCAUACCCGGGGACGGAGAUGGCGGGGUGCGAGUCUUUGGGGUUAUUACCCCCCCUCUUUUUCUGAGGGUCGCCGUCAGUGGUGACCGCUUUCGCCUUGCCUUUCCCCUUGGUCCGCCCAACAGCGGCCUUGGGAGGAACAAAACCCUCACCAGCCAUUACUCACAGCCACACUAACAGAAAGGGAAGAGGAAGACAAAGGAGGAGAAGUACCUGGUACUCCUUCAACAACGACAAGACAACGACGAAGAACGGUGACUGUGAUUACCGAAAACGGCGACGGUGAGGGAAAACGAAGAAGAGAAAUGUGCAGAGGAGGGACUAAGCGUAAAGGGGAAGCUGAAUGUGUAAAGGCGCGAAUGCGCGAAGGAGAGAGAGACCAACUGUUUUAGAAAAAAAGUGGAAAACGACAAAAGGGACAGGGCAUUAAUGGGGCUCAUAAUGACAGGGUGCAUCCCAUCAUUAUAAGUCGCCACCCCUUAUUACAAGCCGCCCUGACGUUUCGAGAAACGAGGCAACGCCUCAUGACACGCGACAUUUCACCCAAAAAAUAGAAAUGAAAGGUCACGACCCCCCACAUACUCGGCAAUUAACUCUUCGAUUCGAGAUCUUCAGAGCUCGGGAGACUAGUGUACUAUCCACGUCGGACACCGAGCUCAAGCUCGGUGUCCCAGCGCCGCACCAUCUCGGAUAAGCGCCACAUGACAUCGAUCAAAACAAGGGCCCAAUGCCUAUUGGGCCACGACCAAUCUCAGACCUAAAUCUAUCUUACCCUCGUCCAAGAGGAAACCCUAAUCACAUAUCAAGGUACGUGCAUUAUAUAUAAGAGACUCAUACGAUCAUAAACUAACUUAAGCAUUAGAGUCUCUUUUACAGGUACCAACCCCAUCUCGGAGUAGCAGACGUACCAAGCAAAGGAGGCUCAUCGAUCUUACCCAGAGAUCGUCUCACUCACCGAUCUCAGGCAAGAACAGAUACAAAUAUACAAUCUUUUUGACUUGAACCUAUAACUAACUUAUUAUUAUUUAUUUUAUUAUAUUAAUCAAUUAUCUUGCUGUAACAUGUUAGAUCCUAAAAAAAAUUGUGGGUUUUUAAUCUAAUCACUCGUAAACGAGGAAAAGACUCCCCAUUCUAUUGGAAUUUUCUCCAAGAUUAGAAUGCUUGAUUAUUCUUUGCUUCAUACCCAAACAGGAAAAUAUAAAAGUUCCAUAGAGAUGGUAUUUUCUGCUUCUUACUUUUUCAACAAUGGCUGAUCACGCAAGGUUUGCAGAGAAGUGUAGGUUGAGCUUCCAUCACUGAAGAAGUCAGAAUUCCCUGCAAUACCAAAUCUGCUUUAGUACCUAAGAUUCCUGCCCCAGAGUUACAUGCUAUCUGUGACAAAGCCGUAAGUGCCUAAGUUCCUGAAAAUCCUAAUCACCACCUAUUCCUUAAACAAUUCUUUUGCUCUAGUAACUUGUAUUGUUUAACCUGUUUAUUAUUUAUAACUUGUUGCCAUUAUAGGGUGACUGUGACUUUAUCGAGGUUUCAUUUGUACAUUAUGUAUAAUAUUAAUUAAAUAAUACUAUCAAUUUUUUAGGUUGUUCGAGUCA